rnacentral:tRNA from 6 species
GCCCUGGUAGCUCAGUCGGUAGAGCACACCCUUGGUAAGGGUGAGGUCGCCGGUUCAAGUCCGGUCUAGGGCU